rnacentral:rRNA from 1 species
CACCGGUUAGCGCGUUGGCGGUCUAACCAAGGCUGCACUUCUUCUCUGGUCCCUAGGUACCUCCGUCGACGGCGUCGGGCGCUCCAGGGCGCGGACGGCCUCCUCGAGGAGCGCUGCUAGUAGAGGGAGUGCAGCGGCGUCCUGCGGACGGCGCGCCGGCGGCAGAGGGCCCGGAAGGAGCGGCGGCGCCUGAGGCUGUGGCAGACCAGGCCGAAGGACAGGGCGCUGGAGGGCGUCGAGCAGCGGCUCCCGCUCGAGGGGGCGCGCGGCGGCAGGUCCUUCCGGGACAAGGCCGCGGAGAGACAGUGGGGCCGGGAGGACGGUACGUUCGAGCAACAUGCGUAGCUAUUGUCUGAGGGGCACGGGAGAACUAAAGAGAGGAGCAAAGGCGAACUAGCCUUAGCCGACUGCUACUUGAUUAGGGGGCAUGGCAAGCAAGCAAGCAAAGAAACCGCGCCUCGUACGCCGACCUCCACUUCGUUAAGAUUGGUCUAGUACACGACUUACUCCGUAUAUAUGGGAGUUAGCCGUACGGACGAGAACGCGAAGAGAUACGACCGGAACUAACACACCAACAGACGGCCUUACUAACAAGGUCUUUAAACAACAAACCUGAUUGGAACAACAGACCUAACUAGGUCUUGAAACGUGUCGUUAAACAUUGAGUUGAAAGCAACAAUUGGUUUACAUAGACAAUAGUAAAGCUUUACUUACGUACCCCAUGCCCGUCCGACCGAUGACGUCGACAUGUCCGUAACGUUGUCAAGAACCUUCGUCGGUCCGAGGCGUUCCAAAGCGCCAACCUUUAGGCACCCUUCUACGCGCGUUACAUCCUACGAGAGCGUCUUGAGCCGCAUGCGGCGAAUGUACCACAAGUUCAACCGUCUAUCACCCAAGUUGUUCGACCUAAAAGGCAAAGUCCACCGUAGUCAGUCGUAACCUACCUAGGUAAGUUGUGCCGUUCAAACGGAAGUUCCGAUGUACCUUCAACCCCUACUGCCUCACUGAGUGUUUUUAUAAACCUCCAGAUCGGCCCUCCUUUUUACCCCUGGAACGUUCGCGUCAGCGCAAUGACCUCGUUAAGUAGAGUGUCUGUUGUAACACGAGGGAGCCUCUUCCCGAUUGCCGACCUACCUCCAGCUCAACCCACUCAAGAUGUUGCUCCUUCUGCUGCUACUCCACAGACAGUCGGACUACGUCUGUUGUCCUCCUCAUGUUCUCACCAGAACAACACAACCCACAGCUCCAAUCUAGAUUCGUUACUACACCUGCUCGAACAUUCUAGCUGGUUUACUCCCAGCAGCGUGAAAAAGGAUGUAUCUUUUGUAAUCAAUGAAUGAUACGUAGAUGACAUAACUUUUAUUCCAAUACUUUUCUAUGCGGUC